UUGGAAUUUAUGAUUUCGCUUAACCCUUUUCAAGCCAAUUAUGCGUAGAUGCAAAUUACCAAACUAUGUGGUUAGACCCGAUUUUCCAAAAUUAGUCAAUAACCUCUGUCGAGCGAUAUCAACCCUAAUUGCUUGGCAUUAACAUAUUUCUAUGUCGUUCUAAACCAAACAACUGCAUUCAAUUUUUGUGAAAAUAACUCAAUGGGUC
rnacentral:lncRNA from 1 species